rnacentral:rRNA from 1 species
UACAGUUGUCUACACGCGAUCACCCUGAACACAUCCAAUCUCCUCUGAUCUCAGAAGCUAAGCAUGGUCAAGCCUCGUUAGUACUUUGGAUGGGAGAGUGGAUACAGUUGGGU